CAAAAGACACCUACUUUUCAGGGAGGCUAGAGCCCUAGGGGCAGAUAUACUAUGCCUCCAGGAAACCCACUUUAAGCACAACGACCACCCACCUAUUCUGACCACCGACUUCCCACAUCAAUUCCACGCCACAUCACCCACGAAAGCAAAAGGAGCAUCCAUCCUAAUACACAAAGCCGUCUCAUUCGCACUACACUCAGCAGACAUAGACCCGAAUGGCCGCUACAUCAUACUCACGGGGCUGUUUAAUGACAUGUUAUAUACCAUCGCCAACAUAUACUCCCCGAAUACAAAC